GAGUGAGAGAGCGAGUGAGUGAGUGAGUGAGUGUGUGUGUGGGGGGGACUCGGCUUGUUGUUGUCGGUGACUUCCCCCUCCCCUUCACCCCUUCCCCUCCCCGCCGCCGCUGCAGUGGCCGCUCCCUGGGCCGUAGGAAAUGAGCGAUAACGAUGACAUCGAGGUGGAGAGCGACGAAGAGCAACCGAGGUUUCAAUCUGCGGCUGACAAACGGGCUCAUCAUAAUGCACUGGAACGAAAACGUAGGGACCACAUCAAAGACAGCUUUCACAGUUUGCGGGACUCAGUCCCAUCACUCCAAGGAGAGAAGGUGAGUUUCCUGAGAAAGCUGAGUAGCUGGCCACUACUAGCUUGGAACUUGUUGCAGAGCUUAGCAGAGCACUCACCUAUUGGGAAGGAAAUGUAGUCAGAGAUAUUCAGGUAGCAUGGUUGCCUUAUUUUUGACUGUUUGGAGGAUCACUGCACACCUUACGUACUCCAGUUUAUCCUUAACAAAAUAUGUCAGAUAUAAUGGAGCUAU
rnacentral:lncRNA from 1 species